AGAGUUUGAUCAUGGCUCAGGAUGAACGCUGGCGGUCUGCUUAACACAUGCAAGUCGAACGGGUGUAGAAAUACAUUAGUGGCGGACGGGUGAGUAACGCGUGAGAAUCUGGCUUUGGGUUCGGGACAACCACUGGAAACGGUGGCUAAUACCGGAUGUGCCGAAAGGUGAAAGGUUAACCGCCUGAAGAUGAGCUCGCGUCUGAUUAGCUAGUUGGUGUGGUAAGAGCGCACCAAGGCGACGAUCAGUAGCUGGUCUGAGAGGAUGAUCAGCCACACUGGGACUGAGACACGGCCCAGACUCCUACGGGAGGCAGCAGUGGGGAAUUUUCCGCAAUGGGCGAAAGCCUGACGGAGCAAGACCGCGUGAGGGAAGAAGGCUCUUGGGUCGUAAACCUCUUUUGUCAGGGAAGAACACAAUGACGGUACCUGAAGAAUCAGCAUCGGCUAACUCCGUGCCAGCAGCCGCGGUAAUACGGAGGAUGCAAGCGUUAUCCGGAAUUAUUGGGCGUAAAGCGUCCGUAGGUGGUUUUGCAAGUCGGCUGUCAAAGCACAGGGCUUGACCCUGUAAAGGCAGUGGAAACUACAAGACUCGAGUGCAGUAGGGGCAGAGGGAAUUCCCAGUGUAGCGGUGAAAUGCGUAGAGAUUGGGAAGAACACCCGUGGCGAAAGCGCUCUGCUGGACUGCAACUGACACUCAGGGACGAAAGCUAGGGGAGCGAAUGGGAUUAGAUACCCCCGUAGUCC
rnacentral:rRNA from 1 species